ACGAGUUUCCGGGCUUGCUCGGAAAUUAGUGGCGAACGGCUGAGUAACGCGUAGGUGACCUACCCCGUAGUGUGGAAUAACUGCCCGAAAGGGUAGCUAAUACCGCAUGUUGAGCCGACAUCAAUGUCGUCUCCAAAGCAGAAAUGCGCUAUGGGCGGGGCCUGCGUUCGAUUAGCUAGUUGGUGGGGUAAUGGCUCACCAAGGCGACGAUCGAUAGGUGGUCUGAGAGGACGAUCACCCAGACUGGGACUGAGACACGGCCCAGACUCCUACGGGAGGCAGCAGUCGGGAAUUUUGCGCAAUGGGGGAAACCCUGACGCAGCAAUACCGCGUGUGGGAUGAAGGCCUUCGGGUCGUAAACCACUUUUUUCGGGGACGAUAAUGACGGUACCCGAAGAAUAAGCCACGGCUAACUACGUGCCAGCAGCCGCGGUAAUACGUAGGUGGCAAGCGUUGUCCGGAUUUACUGGGCGUAAAGCGCGCGCAGGCGGUGAAUGAAGUCGAAAGUGAAAGCCCCGAGCUCAACUCGGGAACUGCUUUCGAAACCAGUUCACUUGAAGGUGGAAGAGGGAAGUGGAAUUCCGAGUGUAGCGGUGGAAUGCGUAGAUAUUCGGAGGAACACCAGAGGCGAAGGCGACUUCCUGGUCCAAUCUUGACGCUGAGGCGCGAAAGCUAGGGGAGCAAACAGGAUUAGAUAUCCUGGNUAGUCCUAGCUGUAAACGAUGGAUACUAGGUGUUGGAGGUUUUAACCCCUUCGGCGCCGCAGCUAACGCAUUAAGUAUCCCGCCUGGGGAGUACGGCCGCANGGCUAAAACUCAAAGGAAUUGACGGGGCCCCGCACAAGCAGCNGNANCGUGGGGUUUNANUUCGAUGAUACGCGAA
rnacentral:rRNA from 1 species